rnacentral:siRNA from 1 species
CAAGCCUACAUAUGUAAUGUU